rnacentral:tRNA from 1 species
GCGGGAGUGGCGGAAUGGUAUACGCGUCGGUCUCAAACACCGAUGCCCGCAAGGGCUUGAGGGUUCGAGUCCCUCCUCCCGCA